AAUAUUUUGUAUUUCCUGAACAUACCACAUAUGUACAGUGUAUCCGGGAAUGCAUGCGUUGUUACCGCACUAGGUAGAAAUGUGACUGUAGGUCUUACUGGUCGACCCUCUUAGACUAGCAGACAACCUCGGGGGUGAGGAUUCAGCAUUUUCGUUUUAUAGAUUUUUACUAUUUUAACGAGUAUUGCUUAGGGGCCAUCCGUAAAUAUCGAUAGUUUUUUCAAUCCGUGAAUUUUUCAAAGUAACCAGGACCCACCACCCACCCCCCUACUUUUUACGGAAUAAAAUAUUGAUGACACAUGUACUGUACCUACAUAAAUGUAGGUGGAGUCCAUACACACGCAGGCAUGCGCUCACCGUGUCAUUCAUAACUAAAUACUAGAGUCAUCUACGCGUACGCCUACUACGCCUCGAUGACGGCGUAGUAGCCAUCGUCGUCUUCACCAGGGCUGUCAAGCUCUUUGAAAAACUUAUCUUUUUUGGCAGCUGUACCAAACAAAGUAGUCUGCCGUGCCAUUUUCGUUAGGCAGCUGUACCAAACAAAGUAGUCUGCCGUGCCAUUUUCGUUAGGCCACGCUCCACAUGGGAACUGUUCCAACCAUUGGCGAUGUAGCAAUUCUUCGAUGUGGAGUUCAAAUAAGAGCUGGACUUGACCCGGAUUAAUCAGGUAUUGUGAUACUUCGAAUAAUUGUGCAAUAAUUAUACUUGUGAAUAAUAUCUGACAAACUUCCCUCUUUCUUUUGCUUCAAGAGUUUCGAUCUCCACUACAUUUUUGGAGACAACAAUCUACGUGUACGUGUGGUUCGACGCACGCAGACCCACGCACACGCAGUACUGGGCGCCAGGUCCGCGUGUCAUCGAUAUUUUAUUUACUUUGAAUUUCGGCUGCACCCACCACCCAGGUACGAAAAUUUCACGGAUUGUAAAAACUAUCGACAUUUACGGACGGCCCCUUACGAACAUGACGUGCAUAUUUUUCUGCUGUUCUACUGUCAUGGACAUGGAAAUCCGGUCGCACGUCUAGCGGCCCCAGGCCGCUGGCCAUGCAGCCAUGGGUAAGCAGUACACACAUGCAUGACAUUAUUAUGCUGGUCGCAUCGGAUCAACAUGUGCACUGUUCUGUAGGCGCUGAGGGCGCCGGGCCCCGGUCAAUUGACUGAAUUUCCAUGUUCACGACAGUAAAUCAUAUACUCGUAUAUACUAGAUACUGUAUCCAGAUCAGGAACGCUGUUUCCCCAUUGCAAGGCAAAGUUUUCCCCUGACCCCUGUACAAGACAACCCAUUGUAAAACAAUUUUAAUCCAGCCCCUCCUAUACAAGACAACAUGAAACAUUGAUCGAACUACAGGAGCUAGAAAAAAACAAAUCCAGACAAAUCACAUUCAAACAUUCCGCCUAGCUGCUGGCAGGGCAACAUGGGACCAUCCGAGCAAUUUUGUAGUCCAUGGUCAUUUGCUUUGUCUUGUAAUGACUGGGAAUCAAACUUGUGAGACAGCUAAAGGUGAUUUUUAUAAUGAAUUUUUCUACAAACGAAUUGUCUCUUAUCCGGAUUUGCAUACUGUAUUUUCCCCAUUAAACGUACACGUCUCCAUUACUAGUACGUCCCCAAUUGUAGUACAUGUUAGGUGUGGAUCGAAAAUAUAAAAGGACACGUCUCUAAUAAUAGUACAUGCCGGAAUGAUGUGAUGGGCAUUAGUGGGGUACAGAUACCAGGGUCCACCUUACUUCGUUUUUCUUACCCGUUCAUCAUAUUUGUGUCUUUGUACACUGAUUCUUACCAUGGUUGGGUGUAUUUACAGCCUUACAGCAUCAUUAUCACGAGUUGUUUGCCACCCAACCCAGGCAAUCAAUCUUCCCAGAAACAAUAAAAGUACACGUCUCCAA